AUUGAACGCUCGCGGGAUGCUUUACACAUGCAAGUCGAACGGCAGCGCGGACUUCGGUCUGGCGGCGAGUGGCGAACGGGUGAGUAAUGUAUCGGAACGUGCCCAGUAGCGGGGGAUAACUACGCGAAAGCGUAGCUAAUACCGCAUACGCCCUACGGGGGAAAGCAGGGGAUCGUAAGACCUUGCACUAUUGGAGCGGCCGAUAUCGAAUUAGCUAGUUGGUGAGGUAACGGCUCACCAAGGCGACGAUCCGUAGCUGGUUUGAGAGGACGACCAGCCACACUGGGACUGAGACACGGCCCAGACUCCUACGGGAGGCAGCAGUGGGGAAUUUUGGACAAUGGGGGCAACCCUGAUCCAGCCAUCCCGCGUGUGCGAUGAAGGCCUUCGGGUUGUAAAGCACUUUUGGCAGGAAAGAAACGUCGCGGGCUAAUACCCCGUGGAACUGACGGUACCUGCAGAAUAAGCACCGGCUAACUACGUG
rnacentral:rRNA from 1 species